rnacentral:rRNA from 1 species
UACGUAGGAUGCGAGCGUUAUCCGGAUUUAUUGGGUUUAAAGGGUGCGUAGGCGGAUUUUUAAGUCAGCGGUAAAAUGUCCGGGCUCAACCCGGGCCGGCCGUUGAAACUGGGGAUCUUGAGUGGGCGAGAAGUAUGCGGAAUGUGUAGUGUAGCGGUGAAAUGCAUAGAUAUUACACAGAACACCGAUUGCGAAGGCAGCAUGCCGGCUCCACACUGACGCUGAGGCACGAAAGCGUGGGUAUCGAACAGG